UACGUAGGGUGCGAGCGUUAAUCGGAAUUACUGGGCGUAGAGCGUGCGCAGGCGGUUCGUUGUGUCGGCGGUGAAAGCCCCGGGCUCAACCUGGGAAUUGCGAUGGAGACUGCAAGGCUAGAAUCUGGCAGAGGGGGGUAGAAUUCCACGUGUAGCAGUGAAAUGCGUAGAGAUGUGGAGGAACACCGAUGGCGAAGGCAGCCCCCUGGGUCAAGAUUGACGCUCAUGCACGAAAGCGUGGGGAG
rnacentral:rRNA from 1 species